rnacentral:lncRNA from 1 species
CAAACUCUUAACAAACAACAUUCCAGAGCUAGAUGGCUUCACAGGCACUGUUACUGGAGAGCUUUCAGCCACUCUGGGUGAUGCCAAAGAUACAUUUCACUAAAACAGUAAUUAUGCUUCUGGCUGGACCUUUGCCUGGUA